rnacentral:misc_RNA from 1 species
GAUGAAGAACGCAGCGAAAUGCGAUACGUAAUGUGAAUUGCAAAUUCAGUGAAUCAUCGAGUCUUUGAACGCACAUUGCGCCCCCUGGUAUUCCGGGGGGCAUGCCUGUCCGAGCGUCAUUGCUGCCCUCAAGCACGGCUUGUGUGUUGGGCCCCGUCCUCCGAUUCCGGGGGACGGGCCCGAAAGGCAGCGGCGGCACCGCGUCCGGUCCUCGAGCGUAUGGGGCUUUGUCACCCGCUCUGUAGGCCCGGCCGGCGCUUGCCGAUCAACCCAAAUUUUUAUCCAGGUUGACCUCGGAUCAGGUAGGGAUACCCGCUGAACUUAAGCAUAUCAAUUAAGCGGAGGA